ACUGACUCAUUCUUAGAGCCCCUUCCCUUGGAAUAUUAAUGGAUACAAUAGUAAUUAUUCAUGGUUCUGCGUAACAGAGAAGACCCACUUAUGUGUAUGCCUUUAUCAUUGCUCCUAGAUAGUGUGAACUACCUACCACCUUGCAUUAAUAUGUAAAACACUAAUUGCCCAUAGUCCCACUCAUUAGUCUAGGAUGUCCUCUUUGCCAUUGCUGCUGAGUUCUGACUACCCAAGUUUCCUUCUCUUAAACAGUUGAUAUGCAUAAUUGCAUAUAUUCAUGGUUCUGUGCAAUAAAAAUGGAUUCUCACCCCAUCCCACCUUCUGUGGGAUGUUGCUAACGAGUGCAGAUUAUUCAAUAACAGCUCUUGAACAGUUAAUUUGCACAGUUGCAAUUGUCCAGAGUCCUGUCCAUUAGAAAGGGACUCUGUAUCCUAUUUGCACGCUACAAUGUGGGCUGAUCACCCAAGGACUCUUCUUGUGCAUUGAUGUUCAUAAUUGUAUUUGUCCACGAUCUUGUGCACUAACCCUUCCACUCCCUUUGUAUUCCAGCAGGGGACCCUUACUACUCAAGACCUCUGUACUAGGACAGUUUAUGUGCACAAUCCUAAUUGAUUAGAACUGAGUCUUUUAUAUCAAGGUCCCUGCAUCAUCUUUGCUUUACAUCAAGAGGGUGCUGGUUACCUAAUGCCCCUCCUCCAGAAAUUAUUGAUGUGCAAAAUGCAAUUUCCCUAUCUGCUGUUAGUCUGGGGUCUCAUCCCCUCAUAUUCCUUUUGUCUUACAGCAGGGGGUACUUGGGACUGUUAAUGCGCAUAAUUGCAAUUAUGGUCUUUUCCAUUAAAUUAAGAUCCCAACUGCUCACACCCUCUUAGCAUUACAGUAGAGGGUGCUAAUCACAAGGACAUUUCUUUUGUACUGUUAAUGUGCUACUUGCAUUUGUCCCUCUUCCUGUGCACUAAAGACCCCACUCACUUCCCUAGUGUUCAGCAGUGGAUGACCUCUAGUCAAGACCUUUGCACUAGGAUAGUUAAUGUGAACCAUGGCAACUGAUCACAACAAUGUCUUUCAGAUCAGAUCCAUUUUAUCCUCCUUGUUUUACAGCAAGGGAUAUUAAUUACCUAUGUUACCUUUCCCUGGGACUAUGAAUGUGCAAAAUUCCAAUGUUCAUGGUCUCUCCCUUUAAACCUAUAUUCUACCCCUUUUACAUUAUAGAAAGGGAUGCUGGAAACCCAGAGUCCUUCUCUUGGGACUCUUAAUGUGUAUUUCUAAUUAUCCAUGACUCUUAAUGUGCAUAUUUUCAAUUGCCUAAUUGAUUUCAAUUGUCUAAGACAUUUCAAAUGUCUAAUUGAUUAGAACUGAGUCUUUUAUAUCAAGCUAAUAUCUAGCUUUUAUAUCAAGCUAAUAUCUUGACUUCUCAGCAUCAUAGAAGGGGGUACUGAUUUCCUAAAGUCUUUCUUGAAUUUCUAUUAUGCAAAAUUGCCCUGAGGCCGGGUGUGGUGGCUCACACCUGUAAUCCCAGCACUUUGGGAGGCUGAGGUGGGAAGAUCCCUUACUGCCAGGAGUUUGAGACCAGCCUGGCCAACAUUAAAAAAAAAAAAAAGUAAGACAAUUGCCCUGGAAUCCCAUCCCCCUCACACCUCCUUGGCAAAGCAGCAGGAGUGCUAACUAGCUAGUGCUUCUUCUCUUAUACUGCUUAAAUGCGCAUAAUUAGCAGUAGUUGAUGUGCCCCUAUGUUAGAGUAGAAUCCCGCUUCCUUGCUCCAUUUGCAUUACUGCAGGAGCUUCUAACUAGCCUGAAUUCACUCUCUUGGACUGUUAAUGUGCAUACUUAUAUUUGCUGCUGUACUUUUUUACCAUGUAAGGACCCCACCCACUGUAUUUACAUCCCAGCUGGAAGUACCUACUACUUAAGACCCUUAGACUAGUAAAGUUAGCGUGCAUAAUCUUAGGUGUUAUAUACACAUUUUCAGUUGCAUACAGUUGUGCCUUUUAUCAGGACUCCUGUACUUAUCAAAGCAGAGAGUGCUAAUCAAUAUUAAGCCCUUCUCUUCGAACUGUAGAUGGCAUGUAAUUGCAGUUGUCAAUGGUCCUUCAAUUAGACUUGGGUUUCUGACCUAUCACACCCUCUUUGCUUUAUUGCAUGGGGUACUAUUCACUUAAGGCCCCUUUCUCAAACUGUUAAUGUGCCUAAUGACAAUUACAUCAGUAUCCUUCCUUUUGAAGGACAGCAUGGUUGGUGACACCUAAGGCCCCAUUUCUUGGCCUCCCAAUAUGUGUGAUUGUAUUUGUCGAGGUUGCUAUGCACUAGAGAAGGAAAGUGCUCCCCUCAUCCCCACUUUUCCCUUCCAGCAGGAAGUGCCCACCCCAUAAGACCCUUUUAUUUGGAGAGUCUAGGUGCACAAUUGUAAGUGACCACAAGCAUGCAUCUUGGACAUUUAUGUGCGUAAUCGCACACUGCUCAUUCCAUGUGAAUAAGGUCCUACUCUCCGACCCCUUUUGCAAUACAGAAGGGUUGCUGAUAACGCAGUCCCCUUUUCUUGGCAUGUUGUGUGUGAUUAUAAUCGUCUGGGAUCCUAUGCACUAGAAAAGGAGGGUCCUCUCCACAUACCUCAGUCUCACCUUUCCCUUCCAGCAGGGAGUGCCCACUCCAUAAGACUCUCACAUUUGGACAGUCAAGGUGCGUAAUUGUUAAGUGAACACAACCAUGCACCUUAGACAUGGAUUUGCAUAACUACACACAGCUCAACCUAUCUGAAUAAAAUCCUACUCUCAGACCCCUUUUGCAGUACAGCAGGGGUGCUGAUCACCAAGGCCCUUUUUCCUGGCCUGGUAUGCGUGUGAUUAUGUUUGUCCCGGUUCCUGUGUAUUAGACAUGGAAGCCUCCCCUGCCACACUCCACCCCCAAUCUUCCUUUCCCUUCCGGCAGGGAGUGCCCUCUCCAUAAGACGCUUACGUUUGGACAAUCAAGGUGCACAGUUGUAAGUGACCACAGGCAUACACCUUGGACAUUAAUGUGCAUAACCACUUUGCCCAUUCCAUCUGAAUAAGGUCCUACUCUCAGACCCCUUUUGCAGUACAGCAGGGGUGCUGAUCACCAAGGCCCCUUUUCUUGGCCUGUUAUGUGCGUGAUUAUAUUUGUCUGGGUUCCUGUGUAUUAGACAAGGAAGCCUUCCCCCCGCCCCCACCCCCACUCCCAGUCUUCCUUUCCCUUCCAGCAGGGAGUGCCCCCUCCAUAAGAUCAUUACAUUUGGACAAUCAAGGUGCACAAUUAUAAGUGACCACAGCCAUGCACCUUGGACAUUAUUGGACAUUAAUGUGCGUAACUGCACAUGGCCCAUCCCAUCUGAAUAAGGUCCUACUCUCAGAUGCCCUUUGCAGUACAGCAGGGGUACUGAAUCACCAAGGCCCUUUUUCUUGGCCUGUUAUGUGUGUGAUUAUAUUUAUCCCAGUUUCUGUGUAAUAGACAUGAAAGCCUCCCCUGCCACACCCCACCUCCAAUCUUCCUUUCCCUUCCACCAGGGAGUGUCCACUCCAUAUACCCUUACAUUUGGACAAUCAAGGUGCACAAUUGUAAGUGAGCAUAGGCACUCACCUUGGACAUGAAUGUGCAUAACUGCACAUGGCCCAUCCCAUCUGAAUAAGGUCCUACUCUCAGACCCUUUUUGCAGUACAGCAGGGGUGCUGAUCACCAAGGCCCCUUUUCCUGGCCUGUUAUGUGUGUGAUUAUAUUUGUUCCAGUUCCUGUGUAAUAGACAUGGAAGCCUCCCCUGCCACACUCCACCCCCAAUCUUCCUUUCCCUUCUGGCAGGAAGUACCCGCUCCAUAAGACCCUUACAUUUGGACAGUCAAGGUGCACAAUUGUAUGUGACCACAACCAUGCACCUUGGACAUAAAUGUGUGUAACUGCACAUGGCCCAUCCCAUCUGAAUAAGGUCCUACUCUCAGACCCCUUUUGCAGUACAGUAGGUGUGCUGAUAACCAAGGCCCCUCUUCCUGGCCUGUUAACGUAUGUGAUUAUAUUUGUCUGGGUUCCAGUGUAUAAGACAUGGAAGCCUCCCCUGCCCCACCCCACCCUCAAUCUUCCUUUCCCUUCUGGCAGGGAGUGCCAGCUCCAUAAGAACCUUACAUUUGGACAGUCAAGGUGCACAAUUCUAAGUGACCGCAGCCAUGCACCUUGGUCAAUAAUGUGUGUAACUGCACACGGCCUAUCUCAUCUGAAUAAGGCCUUACUCUCAGACCCCUUUUGCAGUACAGCAGGGGUGCUGAUAACCAAGGCCCAUUUUCCUGGCCUGUUAUGUGUGUGAUUAUAUUUGUCCAGGUUUCUGUGUACUAGACAAGGAAGCCUCCUCUGCCCCAUCCCAUCUACGCAUAAUCUUUCUUUUCCUCCCAGCAGGGAGUGCUCACUCCAUAAGACCCUUACAUUUGGACAAUCAAGGUGCACAAUUGUAAGUGACCACAACCAUGCAUCUUGGAAAUUUAUGUGCAUAACUGCACAUGGCUUAUCCUAUUUGAAUAAAGUCCUACUCUCAGACCCCCUUUGCAGUAUAGCUGGGGUGCUGAUCACUGAGGCCUCUUUGCUUGGCUUGUCUAUAUUCUUGUGUACUAGAUAAGGGCACCUUCUCAUGGACUCCCUUUGCUUUUCAACAAGGAGUACCCACUACUUUUUAAGAUUCUUAUAUUUGUCCAAAGUACAUGGUUUUAAUUGACCACAACAAUGUCCCUUGGACAUUAAUGUAUGUAAUCACCACAUGGUUCAUCCUAAUUAAACAAAGUUCUACCUUCUCACCCUCCAUUUGCAGUAUACCAGGGUUGCUGACCCCCUAAGUCCCCUUUUCUUGGCUUGUUGACAUGCAUAAUUGCAUUUAUGUUGGUUCUUGUGCCCUAGACAAGGAUGCCCCACCUCUUUUCAAUAGUGGGUGCCCACUCCUUAUGAUCUUUACAUUUGAACAGUUAAUGUGAAUAAUUGCAGUUGUCCACAACCCUAUCACUUCUAGGACCAUUAUACCUCUUUUGCAUUACUGUGGGGUAUACUGUUUCCCUCCAAGGCCCCUUCUGGUGGACUAUCAACAUAUAAUUGAAAUUUUCUUUUGUCUUUGUCAGUAGAUUAAGGUCAUACCCCAUCACCUUUCCUUUGUAGUACAACAGGGUGUCCUGAUCAACCAAAGUCCUGUUGUUUUGGACUGUUAAUAUGUGCAAUUACAUUUGCUCCUGAUCUGUGCACUAGAUAAGGAUCCUACCUACUUUCUUAGUGUUUUUAGCAGGUAGUGCCCACUACUCAAGACUGUCACUUGGAAUGUUCAUGUGCACAAACUCAAUUCUCUAAGCAUGUUCCUGUACCACCUUUGCUUUAGAGCAGGGGGAUGAUAUUCACUAAGUGCCCCUUCUUUUGGACUUAAUAUGCAUUAAUGCAAUUGUCCACCUCUUCUUUUAGACUAAGAGUUGAUCUCCACAUAUUCCCCUUGCAUCAGGGGCAUGUUAAUUAUGAAUGAACCCUUUUCUUUUAAUAUUAAUGUCAUAAUUGUAUUUGUGGACCUGUGUAGGAGAAAAAGACCCUAUGUUCCUCCCAUUACCCUUUGGAUUGCUGCUGAGAAGUGUUAACUACUCAUAAUCUCAGCUCUUGGACAAUUAAUAGCAUUAAUAACAAUUAUCAAGGGCACUGAUCAUUAGAUAAGACUCCUGCUUCCUCGUUGCUUACAUCGGGGGUACUGACCCACUAAGGCCCCUUGUACUGUUAAUGUGAAUAUUUGCAAUUAUAUAUGUCUCCUUCUGGUAGAGUGGGAUAUUAUGCCCUAGUAUCCCCUUUGCAUUACUGCAGGGGCUGCUGACUACUCAAAACUUCUCCUGGGACUGUUAAUAGGCACAAUGGCAGUUAUCAAUGGUUUUCUCCCUCCCUGACCUUGUUAAGCAAGCGCCCCACCCCACCCUUAGUUUCCCAUGGCAUAAUAAAGUAUAAGCAUUGGAGUAUUCCAUGCACUUGUCUAUCAAACAGUGGUCCAUACUCCCAACCCUUUUGCAUUGCGCCAGUGUGUAAAAUCACAGGUAGCCAUGGUGUCAUGCUUUAUAUACGAAGUCUUCCCUCUCUCUGCCCCUUGUGUGCCCUUGGCCCCUUUUUACAGACUAUUGCUCACAAUCUCAGGUGUCCAUAUUUGCAGCUAUUAGGUAAGAUUGUGCUGUCUCCCUCUUCCCUUCCCUCUGCCCUGCCCCUUUUGCCUCUUUGCUGGGUAAUGUUGACCAGACAAGGCCCUUUCUCUUGGACUUAAACAAUUCUCAGUUGCACUUUCCUUGGUCCCACCCAUUAUACAUGAACCCCUCUACUUCCUUUCGCAUUGCUUCUGAGUAUGCUGACUACCCAAAGCCCCUUCUGUGUUAUUAAUAAACACAGUACUGAUUGUCCCAUUUUUCAGCCCAUCAGUCCAAGAUCUCCCUACCACUUUGGUGUGUUGGUGCAGUGUUGACUAUGAAAAGCAGGCCUGAACUAGGUGGAUAAGCCUUCACUCAUUUUCUUUCAUUUAUUAAUGAUCCUAGUUUCAAUUAUUGUCAGAUUCUGGGGACAAGAACCAUUCUUGCCCACCUGUGUUACUGCUUUACUGUGCAAAAUACUGAAGGCAAGUCAGACCCAGGGAGCUGGAUUGCCAUCCUUUAUUUUGUGUUUCCAGUGUACACUAUAAAAUUGUCUCCCCAGGAAGGAAGGUUGGCACUUUCUCUGCAUUCUUCUUUCCAGAGCAGAUUGCCUGGUUAAGAAUCUCUUGUUGUCCCCUUUGUAUAUUGUUAUUGUAAAGUGCCAAAUGCCAGGAUACAGCCAGAAAAAUUGCUUAUUAUUAUUAAAAAAAUUUUUUUAAGAAAGACAUCUGGAUUGUAGGGUGGACUCGAUAACCUGGUCAUUAUUUUUUUGAAGCCAAAAUAUCCAUUUAUACUAUGUACCUGGUGACCAGUGUCUCUCAUUUUAACUGAGGGUGGUGGGUCUGUGGAUAGAACACUGACUCUUGCUAUUUUAAUAUCAAAGAUAUUCUAGAGUGGAACUCUUAAGACCAGUAUCUUUGUGUGGGCUUUACCAGCAUUCACUUUUAGAAAAACUACCUAAAUUUUAUAAUCCUUUAAUUUCUUCAUCUGGAGCACCUGCCCCUACUUAUUUCAAGAAGAUUGCAGUAAAACGAUUAAAUGAGGGAACAUAUGCAGAGGUGCUUUUAAAAAGCAUAUGCCACCUUUUUUAUUAAUUAUUAUAUAAAAUGAAGCAUUUAAUUAUAGUAAUAAUUUGAAGUAGUUUGAAGUACCACACUGAGGUGAGGACUUAAAAAUGAUAAGACGAGUUCCCUAUUUUAUAAGAAAAAUAAGCCAAAAUUAAAUAUUCUUUUGGAUAUAAAUUUCAACAGUGAGAUAGCUGCCUAGUGGAAAUGAAUAAUAUCCCAGCCACUAGUGUACAGGGUGUUUUGUGGCACAGGAUUAUGUAAUAUGGAACUGCUCAAGCAAAUAACUAGUCAUCACAACAGCAGUUCUUUGUAAUAACUGAAAAAGAAUAUUGUUUCUCGGAGAAGGAUGUCAAAAGAUCGGCCCAGCUCAGGGAGCAGUUUGCCCUACUAGCUCCUCGGACAGCUGUAAAGAAGAGUCUCUGGCUCUUUAGAAUACUGAUCCCAUUGAAGAUACCACGCUGCAUGUGUCCUUAGUAGUCAUGUCUCCUUAGGCUCCUCUUGGACAUUCUGAGCAUGUGAGACCUGAGGACUGCAAACAGCUAUAAGAGGCUCCAAAUUAAUCAUAUCUUUCCCUUUGAGAAUCUGGCCAAGCUCCAGCUAAUCUACUUGGAUGGGUUGCCAGCUAUCUGGAGAAAAAGCUCUUCAUUGUUCCUAUCUGCCAAAUCAUUAUACUUCCUACAAGCAGUGCAGAGAGCUGAGUCUUCAGCAGGUCCAAGAAAUUUGAACACACUGAAGGAAGUCAGCCUUCCCACCUGAAGAUCAACAUGCCUGGCACUCUAGCACUUGAGGAUAGCUGAAUGAAUGUGUAUUUCUUUGUCUCUUUCUUUCUUGUCUUUGCUCUUUGUUCUCUAUCUAAAGUGUGUCUUACCCAUUUCCAUGUUUCUCUUGCUAAUUUCUUUCGUGUGUGCCUUUGCCUCAUUUUCUCUUUUUGUUCACAAGAGUGGUCUGUGUCUUGUCUUAGACAUAUCUCUCAUUUUUCAUUUUGUUGCUAUUUCUCUUUGCUCUCCUAGAUGUGGCUCUUCUUUCACGCUUUAUUUCAUGUCUCCUUUUUGGGUCACAUGCUGUGUGCUUUUUGUCCUUUUCUUGUUCUGUCUACCUCUCCUUUCUCUGCCUACCUCUCUUUUCUCUUUGUGAACUGUGAUUAUUUGUUACCCCUUCCCCUUCUCGUUCGUUUUAAAUUUCACCUUUUUUCUGAGUCUGGCCUCCUUUCUGCUGUUUCUACUUUUUAUCUCACAUUUCUCAUUUCUGCAUUUCCUUUCUGCCUCUCUUGGGCUAUUCUCUCUCUCCUCCCCUGCGUGCCUCAGCAUCUCUUGCUGUUUGUGAUUUUCUAUUUCAGUAUUAAUCUCUGUUGGCUUGUAUUUGUUCUCUGCUUCUUCCCUUUCUACUCACCUUUGAGUAUUUCAGCCUCUUCAUGAAUCUAUCUCCCUCUCUUUGAUUUCAUGUAAUCUCUCCUUAAAUAUUUCUUUGCAUAUGUGGGCAAGUGUACGUGUGUGUGUGUCAUGUGUGGCAGAGGGGCUUCCUAACCCCUGCCUGAUAGGUGCAGAACGUCGGCUAUCAGAGCAAGCAUUGUGGAGCGGUUCCUUAUGCCAGGCUGCCAUGUGAGAUGAUCCAAGACCAAAACAAGGCCCUAGACUGCAGUAAAACCCAGAACUCAAGUAGGGCAGAAGGUGGAAGGCUCAUAUGGAUAGAAGGCCCAAAGUAUAAGACAGAUGGUUUGAGACUUGAGACCCGAGGACUAAGAUGGAAAGCCCAUGUUCCAAGAUAGAUAGAAGCCUCAGGCCUGAAACCAACAAAAGCCUCAAGAGCCAAGAAAACAGAGGGUGGCCUGAAUUGGACCGAAGGCCUGAGUUGGAUGGAAGUCUCAAGGCUUGAGUUAGAAGUCUUAAGACCUGGGACAGGACACAUGGAAGGCCUAAGAACUGAGACUUGUGACACAAGGCCAACGACCUAAGAUUAGCCCAGGGUUGUAGCUGGAAGACCUACAACCCAAGGAUGGAAGGCCCCUGUCACAAAGCCUACCUAGAUGGAUAGAGGACCCAAGCGAAAAAGGUAUCUCAAGACUAACGGCCGGAAUCUGGAGGCCCAUGACCCAGAACCCAGGAAGGAUAGAAGCUUGAAGACCUGGGGAAAUCCCAAGAUGAGAACCCUAAACCCUACCUCUUUUCUAUUGUUUACACUUCUUACUCUUAGAUAUUUCCAGUUCUCCUGUUUAUCUUUAAGCCUGAUUCUUUUGAGAUGUACUUUUUGAUGUUGCCGGUUACCUUUAGAUUGACAGUAUUAUGCCUGGGCCAGUCUUGAGCCAGCUUUAAAUCACAGCUUUUACCUAUUUGUUAGGCUAUAGUGUUUUGUAAACUUCUGUUUCUAUUCACAUCUUCUCCACUUGAGAGAGACACCAAAAUCCAGUCAGUAUCUAAUCUGGCUUUUGUUAACUUCCCUCAGGAGCAGACAUUCAUAUAGGUGAUACUGUAUUUCAGUCCUUUCUUUUGACCCCAGAAGCCCUAGACUGAGAAGAUAAAAUGGUCAGGUUGUUGGGGAAAAAAAAGUGCCAGGCUCUCUAGAGAAAAAUGUGAAGAGAUGCUCCAGGCCAAUGAGAAGAAUUAGACAAGAAAUACACAGAUGUGCCAGACUUCUGAGAAGCACCUGCCAGCAACAGCUUCCUUCUUUGAGCUUAGUCCAUCCCUCAUGAAAAAUGACUGACCACUGCUGGGCAGCAGGAGGGAUGAUGACCAACUAAUUCCCAAACCCCAGUCUCAUUGGUACCAGCCUUGGGGAACCACCUACACUUGAGCCACAAUUGGUUUUGAAGUGCAUUUACAAGUUUCUGGCAUCACUACCACUACUGAUUAAACAAGAAUAAGAGAACAUUUUAUCAUCAUCUGCUUUAUUCACAUAAAUGAAGUUGUGAUGAAUAAAUCUGCUUUUAUGCAGACACAAGGAAUUAAGUGGCUUCGUCAUUGUCCUUCUACCUCAAAGAUAAUUUAUUCCAAAAGCUAAGAUAAAUGGAAGACUCUUGAACUUGUGAACUGAUGUGAAAUGCAGAAUCUCUUUUGAGUCUUUGCUGUUUGGAAGAUUGAAAAAUAUUGUUCAGCAUGGGUGACCACCAGAAAGUAAUCUUAAGCCAUCUAGAUGUCACAAUUGAAACAAACUGGGGAGUUGGUUGCUAUUGUAAAAUAAAAUAUACUGUUUUGAAAACUUUGUAUUUUGAUGUGACAAUUUCUAACUCACUGUCCCUAA
rnacentral:lncRNA from 1 species